rnacentral:rRNA from 1 species
CCUACGGUGUGCUGCAGUGGGGAAUAUUGGACAAUGGGCGAAAGCCUGAUCCAGCCAUGCCGCGUGUGUGAAGAAGGCCUUCGGGUUGUAAAGCACUUUCAGUGGGGAAGAAAGCCUUGGGGCUAAUACCCUCGAGGAAGGACAUCACCCACAGAAGAAGCACCGGCUAACUCCGUGCCAGCAGCCGCGGUAAUACGGAGGGUGCGAGCGUUAAUCGGAAUUACUGGGCGUAAAGCGCGCGUAGGCGGUCUGAUAAGCCGGUUGUGAAAGCCCCGGGCUCAACCUGGGAACGGCAUCCGGAACUGUCAGGCUAGAGUGCAGGAGAGGAAGGUAGAAUUCCCGGUGUAGCGGUGAAAUGCGUAGAGAGCGGGAGGAAUACCAGUGGCGAAGGCGGCCUUCUGGACUGACACUGACGCUGAGGUGCGAAAGCGUGGGUAGCAAACAGGAUUAGAUACCCGAGUAGUC